UACAGAGGUGGCAAGCGUUGUUCGGAAUUACUGGGCGUAAAGGGCGCGUAGGCGGCCAUCUAAGUCAGACGUGAAAUCCCCCGGCUUAACCUGGGAACUGCGUCUGAUACUGGACGGCUGGAGUUUGGGAGAGGGAUGUAGAAUUCCAGGUGUAGCGGUGAAAUGCGUAGAUAUCUGGAGGAACACCGGUGGCGAAGGCGGCAUCCUGGACCGGUAUUGACGCUGAGGCGCGAAAGCUAGGGGAGCAAACGGG
rnacentral:rRNA from 1 species